UCCGAUUUAGCUCAGCUGGCAGAGCGCCCACAGCUAUAAUAAUUACAUCGGUGGGAGGUCAGGGGUUCAAAUCCUUUAAUCGGAA
rnacentral:tRNA from 1 species